ACGACCUGCAUGAAACAUAGAACGAUUUGAUAGCUGUCUUGCACACACAUCAUGGUAAAAUAUUCAUCAGUACAAAUAAUAUGCUGCCGAAGUCUAAAACUAAAGGACAAAAAGACCCUUUGAAGCUUUAUAGGGAUAAAACUACGUUAUUGUCAAAGGAAGGUUAGCUUCUCCGCUUACUGCUAAAGCCUCACAAGAUUUACAACAUCAAGACCACUGUUUAAUUGGGGCGAUAACCUUAUCCACAGCCACCUAAGGUGAACAAAGCGAUACAAGGAUCCUAAAUACUAAUUUGACCAACUAAUAAGUGCAAAGAUACAUGUUUUGCUUAAUGGCCCAACAAGUCCUUCCCAGUACUUAAAUGCUAUCUUAAUGAGCUUUAAAUUAAUUUACCAGAGUGAAGCUACUCUACGGAUAACAGGCUUAAUUUCCGCAAUAUCUAAGGUCACAUUCUCAAGAAAAAUGCACCUCGAUGUCGGCUUAUCUCAACCAAGGUAAGUAGUUGAAUAAUUGGUGGGAGUGCUCAUCCCAUAAAAAGGUACGUG
rnacentral:rRNA from 1 species